CCCCCCCCCCCCCCCCCCCCCCCCCCCCCCCCCCCCCCCCCCCCCCCCCCCCCCCCCCCCCCCCCCCCCCCCGGAGCGGCGGAUUUCAGCGGCGAUCGGGCGGCGGAGGGCUCGGAGCAUCCACCGCGGGCCCAGGGCCGGGCCGGGAGCAGCGGGAGCGGAGCGCGGGGCUCCGGCCGGCCGAGCAUGCACUGAGGCGAGCGGCGCCGCGCUCGGAGCCGCCCCGCUGCAUGCUGUGGGGACACACGGUCGCGAUAAUAAAUGAUAGAGGAUACAAUGACUUUGCUGUCUCUGCUGGGUCGGAUCAUGCGUUACUUCUUGCUCAGACCGGAGACCCUGUUCUUGCUGUGCAUCAGCCUGGCCCUGUGGAGUUAUUUCUUCCACACGGAUGAGGUGAAAACCAUUGUUAAGUCCAGCAGGGAUGCGGUGAAGAUGGUGAAGGGCAAGGUGGCCGAGAUCAUGCAGAAUGACAGGCUCGGGGGUUUGGACGUGCUGGACGCGGAGUUCUCCAAGACGUGGGAGUUCAAGAGCCACAACGUGGCUGUCUACUCCAUCCAAGGCCGGAGGGACCACAUGGAGGACAGGUUCGAAGUGAUCACCGACCUGGUGAACAAGACUCACCCCUCCAUCUUCGGGAUAUUUGAUGGGCACGGAGGAGAGGUGGUGACUCGUGAAGUGGAGCACUUUGGUCCUGGAAAAGCUGCCAGUGAAAAAGAAGAGCUGGGAUGGGAAUUCUGGGGAUAAAGAGCUGCAUGAAGGAGCUGGGAUGGUUUCUGUCACCACAUCUGUUUAUCACCUGGAUGCUGACAAACUCCCAAAGUAGCAAUAAAUCAAAUCUGUGCUGUGUUAUUCAUGAUCCAGUCCAGCCUUUUUUAUUUCUUUGACAGUGCUACCACUAUAA
rnacentral:lncRNA from 12 species